rnacentral:rRNA from 1 species
UACGUAGGGUGCAAGCGUUGUCCGGAAUACUGGGCGUAAAGCGUGCGCAGGCGGUUAUGUAAGACAGUUGUGAAAUCCCCGGGCUCAACCUGGGAACUGCAUCUGUGACUGCAUAGCUAGAGUACGGUAGAGGGGGAUGGAAUUCCGCGUGUAGCAGUGAAAUGCGUAGAUAUGCGGAGGAACACCGAUGGCGAAGGCAAUCCCCUGGACCUGUACUGACGCUCAUGCACGAAAGCGUGGGGAGCAAACAGG